rfam:Dictyocaulus viviparus strain HannoverDv2000 D_viviparus-1.0_Cont16016.1, whole genome shotgun sequence.
AUCGCUUCUCGGCCUUCUCGGUUUAGCUUCUGUUCUUAUCGCAUUAACCUUCGGUAGAGAUCCAAUUGGGUCUCGUUAAGGUUAUUUAAUUUUUCGCAGCGGAUGAGGUCGUCGGCUUGCUCGCGCCUCAUCACGGGUCGGCCCAGCGUUGCACUGCUGCGGUGAUGGGGCCACCCGUC